GCUACAGAGUCACGAUGAUGAAAAAUGAUUUAUUUCAGGAAAAGAACAGCUCCAAAGAAUAAAUCUCUAAAUUGUUUUUGAUGGAAUAAAUAAGACUCGUUGGCUAGGAGAUGCCUCCAAAAGGCACUGAGAAUCAGUCUGGCAGAAGGGUUCAUCUACAGGAAAACAGAAGAAGUGCUACACUGACAUUGUCUUUCAAGCCCAGUGUUACUAGCUAAUAUCUUAUUCAAUUAUCCUCCAAAGCACAAUAAAAAAGUUAAUUGCUUGACCUAAAGAAAAAAAGAAAAGUACGCAGGAUCAUAGAAUAUGAAGCAAAAGUGACUAUAAAGCUGAAAACUGUUGUGCUGCCAGCCCUUAUCCAAGACUCCAGUGAUAGUUUCAGAAAUGAAGCAAUUCUCAGGGUGAUUUCUUCUACUUUUUUCUUCCCUUCCAUUUUUAAGAAUAUCUCAGAAAGUAAAUUUUCUUCUCCAUAACCAGUGAAAUUGAUCCUGUUUUUAUCGUGAUUUAUAUCUUCUAAUUCCCCACAGCAGACACAAUCUGCAGUGUGUUAUAUUUGACAGACUUGAGUCAAGGCUUAGAUUCAAACUUUUGUCCCUGUUUAAAAAGGCAGAAAAACAUGCUGGCACAAAUUGUCUGAACCUUAUUGCCUGGCUAAAAAUGUCACUCCUUUAAAACUUGGAAACAUUAGUGUGCAAAAUACCACUGCAAUGGGCUGUAACAGGACAGAAUGUACCUAUGUUUUCC
ensembl:lncRNA